rnacentral:rRNA from 1 species
GUGACAGGUGGUGCAUGGUUGUCGUCAGCUCGUGUCGUGAGAUGUUGGGUUAAGUCCCGCAACGAGCGCAACCCUUGAUCUUAGUUGCCAUCAUUUAGUUGGGCACUCUAAGGUGACUGCCGGUGACAAACCGGAGGAAGGUGGGGAUGACGUCAAAUCAUCAUGCCCCUUAUGAUUUGGGCUACACACGUGCUACAAUGGACAAUACAAAGGGCAGCGAAACCGCGAGGUCAAGCAAAUCCCAUAAAGUUGUUCUCAGUUCGGAUUGUAGUCUGCAACUCGACUACAUGAAGCUGGAAUCGCUAGUAAUCGUAGAUCAGCAUGCUACGGUGAAUACGUUCCCGGGUCUUGUACACACCGCCCGUCACACCACGAGAGUUUGUAACACCCGAAG